UUUUUAUUUUUAUUUUUUUUUUUAGUUCCCAGCCUAGGGGAUGAAUCAGAGCUGCAGCUGCCGGCCCACACUACAGCCACAGCAAUGCUGGAUCCUUAACCCACUGAGUGAGGCCAGGGAUCAGGAUCAAACCCACAUCUUGAUAGACACUAUGUCGAGUUCUUAACCCACUAAGCUACAAUGGGAACGCCUCCAAAUUCAGUGUUUAAAAGAAAAUAUUUUUAAUAACUCCAGCUAAGUUGAUCAGUGGUCAAUCAAGGAACACUGAGAUUCUGGAGGAGAAAAGCGUCCUCUCACUAAAUGAAUAUCCUGCAAGUCUAGGUGAAAUAGGAAAACUGACUUUUUUCACACAGCCAGCACUGUGCAUGGAGUGCAAGAUUAUAGUUGAUGAAUCAGCCAAGCUAUUUUUAAUGUGAACAAUGGCUUUUUCAAAAGUUUCAAGUUGCUUUAAUAAAGUUUUAAGAUAACAAUAUCAUAAUUAAUGGUUAGUGAAACACAAGUUAGCGAGAUAAAAAAUUUAACAAAGAGGAAUGUUUGAAACUGUAGGUUUUCUCCAAAUAUUACUACCUAUUAUGGUACAAUUUAUUGAUCUCAUUGAGAUUCUUUGUAUUCAUUUCUCCUGGCUACAUAACACCCUGCAAAGAGGGCACAGUGAUGUUGGCCUUUCAAAGAAGAAAUCGAAUUUGAGAAAGGUUGAAUAACUUCUUACUAAGAUUAGUUCUUCUACACUCUCUAUAUGGAGCAGGUUGGCAUAAUCAAAUCCUACACAAAUUUAAUUUUAAAGUGAUGCUCACACGAGGUACUAGGUCCAUCUAACAAGAUACGUACAAGAUCUAUAUGAGGAAAGCUAAAAAAUUCUGAUGGGUGAAACCAAAGAAGAACUAAAUAAAUGGAGAGAUAGUCCAUGUCCAUGAAUAAGAAGAUCCAAUAUCGUCAAGAUAUCAGUGCUUCCCAAAUCGAUCUAUAGAUUCCAUGCAAUCCCAACCAAAAUUCCAGCAAGUUAUUUCAUGGUUAUUGACAACCGGAUUCUAAAGAUUAUAUAGAGAAGCAAAAGACUCAACACAGAGUCUAUUGAAGAAGAACAAAUUUGGAGAACUAACACUGCCUGACUUCAAGACUUACAGUAAAACUAGAGUAAUUAAGACAGUGUGGUAUUGGUGAAAUAAUCAACAAAUCAAUCAAUGGAAGAGAAUAGAGAGCUCAGAAAUAGACCCACAUAAAAACCAUCAACUGAAGUAAAGGCAGCACGAUGGAGCAAAAGUAUUCUUUUACAUAAAUGGUAGUUACAACACCUGGAAAUUCAUAUGCAAACAGAGAAACCUAGACAGAGAUCUUAUAUCCCUCACAAAAAUUAACUCAAAAGGGAUGACAGAUCUAAAUGUAAAAUGCAAAAAUGUAGAACUUCUAGAAGAUAACACAGGAAGGAACCUCGGUGACUUGCAGUCUGAGGCUGGUGUUCAGGUGCAACGCCAAAGACAUGAGCCAUGAAGGAAAUAAUUGACAGGCGGGACUGCACUAAAACGAAAACAUCUGCUUUAUGAACGACAACGUAAAGAUUAUGAGAAGACAAGCUGCAGACUGUGAGGAAAUAGUCACAAAACACAUAUCUGAUAAAGGACUUUUUCCAAGAUCUACAAAGAACACUUAAAUCUCAACAUUAAUAAAACAAACAACCUAAUUUUAAAAUAGGCGAAAGAACUGAACAGAGAACUCGCCAGGGAAGAUAUUCAGAUUGAAAAUUAGCACAUGAAAACAUGUUAAUAUCAUGUCAUUAGGAAAAUGCAAAUUAAAGCAACAAGGAGAUGAUAAGUGUGUCACUACACAUCGAUUAGAAUGGCCAGGAGUUCCCAUUGUGGCUCAGGGAAAACGAACCCAACUAGUAUCCACGAGGAUGCGGGUUUGAUCCCUGGCCUUGCUCAUGGGAUUCGUUAGCCACUGCGUCACGACGGGAACUCCCUGAGUAAUUUUUGCAAUAAAGCCAGCUGCCCCAAAAUGUCUAUAAACAUAUUCAUAUGAAACACAAGUAUUUAGCCACAUCUAACAAAACUACAGUGAGAUAAUGUGAAAAGGAAUUUCUUGUUCCACUUUAGUUAGCUGAACUUUAGUUAGUAACCUAGAUGGUACCAGAGAGGCCCCUGUAAUAUCCAUUCUCUGGAUUAGUGCUUUGUUUAUAUUUAUUCUGCUCACCUAGGUCCACUCCCCCUCAGGACAGGCCUGGGUCCUGUGACAGCAUAGCAGAAACAGCUUGCCAAGUGCAAGGCACAGAGUAGAGGUUCGAUAAAUUGUUGAACAAAUCAAUCAAGGUAGCAUUGGAAAUUAAUUGUUUUAGAGCUUGGCUGUCUCAUCCAGCCUCACCCACUGGGGAAUAUGUGAGCCCUCCAGAAUAACUUUUUGUCCAUUAGCUUUCCCAUCACUCCUCUACGGAGGAGGAUUUUUGCUUUGAAUGAGUUCGCGGUAAGUCUGUUCAAACCACAAAGCAGACCUGGAAUGAAGACAAGCCUUCCUUUCCCAUUGCAAAAACCGAAAACAAAACUAAAAACCUGGGGAAGGCUACUGCCGUGCUUCCUAACUUGUUCUAAAAUAUAAAUCAGUAACUCAGUUUCACGCCUUCUCAGUGCAGUAUUAGCAUGACACAAACUAUCAUAAACUCAAUGGAAAGACCUGGAAGAGAGCCUGGCAGAUAGUAAGUGCCCAAUAAAUACUUGGUGAAGGAGUGAGUGGUGUUGCGGAUUUAGACAGCUUGAUUUAUGAUCUGUCUUCCAAACUCAGAGCAAAUUUCCCUGUCCUCUCUCUGGUUUGAAAAUGUAAAUCACUGAUGGAUAGAAGGAAUGAAAUGGUCGGGAAUUGGCUGUGAUGGAGCAGGUGGUUGCUCACAGUUAAUGCUAUUCAGCAAAUAAACUCUCGAGUGACUGCCACCUGCUUGAUCAGUUUCCAGAAUUGAAAAGAAGGACACAGAGCAGAAGCAACUAAUUUUGGACUCAGAAGCUUUAGAUUCCAAGGGUAGAUCAUGAGCCGGACUCCUGACCUGGGCUGGUGGUGCUUCACUGACAGUGAAUUAGCCUCUCCCAAUUCCGCCCUCACAUCCAGCCUCCCUGCCUGCUUCUCCUCAGCAAGCUCACUCCUUUCCUUUGCCCCCUUCAGAACAACAGUGAAAAAACAUUAUCUUGACAGCCUAGAGAAAAAAUGGAAACCACUUCAAUGAUGAAGCAUUUAACAUUUUAAUUACUGAUAAUUAUGAUACUGCAGAACAUAGAAGAUGGCAUUAUUUAAAUGUAGAAGACAAGGUUAAAUUAUGCUAAUGUGUUCUAGCUUGUCUAUAAUAAUUUUUUGACAGAGUAUAAAGAUUAGAAUCAGCCGCUGACUUGAGUGAGUUGCUGGAUUGUCUCUUGGCCUUGUGACUAGAAGUGAUGACAUUCCAGGGCUGAAGGGUAGGAGGCAGGGUGAGGAAAUCGCGGGCCGUGCGGCGAGAUGACCUCAGAAAAGUCAACUUUGAGCAUGAACAAAUCAGACAGUGUUUUCUGUUUGAAGUGUCUGAAUUGUGCAACAACUUUCCCUUUUAAUCUCGUACUUCCAAACUUCAAUAUUUACACUUAAAUGACAUGUAGGCGUCCCAAUAUGUCCUGAUUCACCGAUGGUGAUUUUUUACCGCUAGCUAAAAAUUUCUUGCUGUUUAAAAGUCCCAUGGGUUUUAAGUUUAGAAAUACCUGGAUCAAACCUAUGUUUCUGCUAUUUAAGAGCCUUGGGAUCCUAGAAAGUUAUGUAAUCUCCUAGUGACUGAAAUCCUUCCUAAUAGGAUUGUUGAGAAGACAGAGAGGGUGCCUGGCACAUGAGAGGUGUUUGGAAAUCAUAGCCAUCUUCUCCUAUGACAAAUCAUGUUCAGCAAAAUUUAAUUUUUGAUAGUUAUUCAAUCUUCAAAAAGUUUGAGUCCUUCCCUGGAGGAUGACAGAUUUGGUCAAAUCAAAAGAGAAAAAUUGCUUGCAAAAAAAAAAAAAUCAUCACAAAAUAUCAGGCAGCAUGACCAAAUUAUUAACGAGCUUUUUGAUUGGGGUGAUAUGGGUUUGAGAAGUUCUUGCUUUGGGCAAAAUGAUGUAAUUAUUAUAUCAUUCAUAUGUACAAGCAUUAAGAAUACACUUUCCUUGCAACCUAUGUUUAUCGCAUCCUCGGUCUUCUUGUCUGGAUCUUCCAAGGGCUUAUUCAUCUUAUUUAGCAAAAUACCUCUGAUCCUGAUGUUGCACAAGUGACUCCACCUGAGUCCUCACCUCAGAACAAAGAAUGUACCAUUCAUUGUGUUUGCAGAUAGCAACCUGGCUCGAGGACCCUUCUUAGCAGGUCACCAUCACAAAGGGCUUGGUGCCAGCUUCAUAUUUCUUGGGUGGAAUUUUUCAGCAGCUUUUUGUCUUGAUUUUUUCAGGGCCAUCUCUUGUCUUUUAUUUCUUGAAAAAAGUUGAUUUUCAUUUCAUUCUCACCCACUGAAUUUUUUGAACCAUUGCGUUCACUUGGUGUAAACUACUUAUCUUAAAUCUAUUGAAUCACGGAGGUGCUGACUGCAUUAUUUAGACAUUUCUUUAAAUUCGCCCCUCCGUGGAUGCUCUCAAAACAAUGAAGUAUCUGGGCUGGUCUGUCAGACUCAUGGCAAUGUGAGAGCCAUGUAUGAGGAAAGAAAUCUAUGGACACCUGGGCCAAUCAUGUUUUUAUGCUGCAACGUGGCUCGUUAUGAAGAGAAAGUCCCACCAUCCCUGCUCUCGGCUGUUCAUGUCACUGCCACAGGUGCACAGUGAUGCAUCAAGAAGGUGUCCCCCAUGUGCUGCGUCACAUGCACGUGCUUGUAACAAACUAAAACUCCUCUUGGGUUCUGCCCUAACACUGAUUAGCGUUGACGGUACACUAUGCGUUACUUGCUCUGGUUUGUACUGGUUUGCUUGUCCCCCCCAGGCUAAGAGGGCUGGAGAGCAGGCUUGGUCUCCUGUGUUUAAGCUGCACCACUCAAAUCCCACAAGUUCAUGGAGCAGGGCUCAGUGCUUACCUUUGAGUGACCGAGUCAUCUAACCAGAAGCAGAAGCUUCUCAAGUUUCUGACAUUUUAGGAAGGGGGAGGGGCCAGAUGGAGAACACAGCUCUCUUGAUGGGACUGAGUGAAGCAGCAUCCGGGAGGAUGGCUGAACAGCCUUCUUCACUCUCCUGUUCUGCUCACAUUCCCACAGCUCCACACACCCCGAGCCUGACCACUGGGGAGGCCUGGCUGGUUUGUGGCUGACUUAGGGCAACUCUGGUUGCCAGUCAUCAUCUCAGGACUAUCAGGGCAGGUAGCAGGACCAUGUCCCUGUGUCCAUCUGCCCCAACAGUGUGGCUGCUAGUGAUGGAGAAGGCACCUAGCACAGGCCCUGAGGGCCAGCAGGUGUCAAGCCCCUUCUUGUUCACCUGAAGGCAGGUUGAGCCUUUGGAGUCACUGGCUUGAGGUGGCUCCACCAGGAGGUGGGAGACCUGUGACACCACCCCCGGGGGAACUACCAUCAGUGUGGGAACUGAUGAGGAUGGCCAGUGAGGAGAUGGAUCUAUGGUAAGCGAGUGGCCCUUUCUCCUUUCUCAGAGUGCCAUGGUUCUUAGUGACACAAGGAGGAUGAGUGACGUGAGGGCGCAAGCCACUGCAGCAGCCAUAGCAGUGGGCCUCAAGCUGUGUGGUCCCCAAACCCCAAUUUAGGUCAACUGAGAAGAGUCCAGUGGCACUGCAGUUCCCUGACAUUUGAGGAAGGAAAACCCGAGGCCAGGGACUUUGGAGCCCACCCCACUCCAUGCAGUCUAAAGAGUCCAGCUGGCUCCUCAGGCCAUUGGGGUGGCCACAGAGUCAGAAGCAGCAAAUGCAAACCACUGGAAAGCUGGCCUGAGGCCCACAGGGAAAACAGCAAGACCCUGGACCGCCUCCGUCUCCUUCCUGCCGGUUGGCUGGCCUCCAGGGCUCUCAGUGAGUACCUUUGGCCUGUGGCCCCUGUGCCUGGGCAGCCCCCAUGCAGGUGUCUGCUCUCCAGGGGAUGCCAAAGAAGUGGCUGCACUUGAGUCUGGGGGUCUCUCCAUCCACCGCGGUGGAAAACUCACCUUCCAAUCACCCAGACCCAGGUUAAACCUCAAACCCAAAGUAACAGCAGCAUCGGCCACUCCCAGCUCUCUUUUUAUCACUCCUCAUCUGUCUUCACAGUUUUCUCAUGAGGACCAGGCUUAAAAAUUAAUAUUUUCUCCCAGAAAUUCUAAAAUAUUAUAGUCAUACUUUUAAUCAAAAUACAGUUUCAAAAGAAAAAGAAUUUUCAGGCUUCUUAGAAAUGAACCCCAUACACCUAAGCUCCAACUCCCUAUUGUCACAAAAUUUCAAAAGGAUGGUUUUCCUUUGUGUCAGCCUUUGAAAUUUCCUGUUUUCCUCCCAGUGUUUUUCUGAAAUUGGAUUUCUUUAUUCACAGAGCUCAUUCGCCUUUGCUUUCUGAUUUCCUCCAAAACAAACCUACUGUGGACCCCCAGGUACUGAGCACAGAACUGCACGCAGGUGCGCGACUUUUGGUGUUCCUUCGUCCCUUUGUCCAGGGCCCC
rnacentral:lncRNA from 1 species